rnacentral:rRNA from 1 species
GCAUAUCAAUAAGCGGAGGAAAAGAAACCAACAGGGAUUGCCUCAGUAACGGCGAGUGAAGCGGCAACAGCUCAAAUUUGAAAUCUGGCCUCUGCGGGGUCCGAGUUGUAAUUUGGAGAGGAUGUUUCGGGCACGGUCCGGGCUUAAAUUUCUUGGAACAGAAUGUCACAGAGGGUGAGAAUCCCGUCUGGAGUCCGGACACGGCCCAUGUGAAACUCCUUCGACGAGUCGAGUUGUUUGGGAAUGCAGCUCUAAAUGGGUGGUAAAUUUCAUCUAAAGCUAAAUACUGGCCAGAGACCGAUAGCGCACAAGUAGAGUGAUCGAAAGAUGAAAAGCACUUUGAAAAGAGAGUUAAACAGUACGUGAAAUUGUUGAAAGGGAAGCGCUGUCAACCAGACUUGCGCGUCGGGGUUCCCCCUUGCUUCUGCCUGGGUUACUCCCCGGCGUUCAGGCCAACAUCGGUUUCGGGGGUUGGUUAAAGGCCCUGGGAAUGUAUCUACCCUCCGGGGUAGACUUAUAGCCCAGGGUGUCAUGCGACCUCCCGGGACCGAGGAACGCGCUUCGGCUCGGAUGUUGGCGUAAUGGUUGUCAGCGACCCGUCUUGAAACACGGACCAAGGAGUCUAACAUCUAUGCGAGUGUUAGGGUGUCAAACCCUUACGCGGAAUGAAAGUGAACGGAGGUAGGAAGCCUUAAGGCUGCACUAUCGACCGAUCCUGAUGUCUUCGGAUGGAUUUGAGUAAGAGCAUAGCUGUUGGGACCCGAAAGAUGGUGAACUAUGCCUGAAUAGGGUGAAGCCAGAGGAAACUCUGGUGGAGGCUCGCAGCGGUUCUGACGUGCAAAUCGAUCGUCAAAUUUGGGUAUAGGGGCGAAAGACUAAUCGAACCAUCUGGUAGCUGGUUCCUGCCGA